GCUCCUGUAGCUCAGCGGACAGAGCGGCGCGGUCCCUAACGCGACGGCCGGCGGUUCGAAUCCGUCUGGGGGCACCA
rnacentral:tRNA from 1 species